UUGUUUUGUUUUCAGUUAUGCUCAUUUCUUCUGCAGGAAGAACCCAUCCUCCAACCACUGUCCAGUCCAAAACUCAAAAAUCCAAAGGAGAUAAAGUGGAAGGAGAGAAUGUAGCACAUACAGAUAAUACAUGGGGAGGCUGUUCUGGUUGUUGGACGCAUCAACAUAAUCGUCGUCUUCGAUAAACUGCCUGUAUGCAUAUAUGGUUAUUUGGUUGGGUCGACCCAUCAUGAACGAUAUCAAUAGCUAUAUAUGUUAUGGAUUGAUAGAUUAUGUUCUCUUAAUAUAAUUCUAAUAUAAUAUUCAAUAAAUAAUGUAUGAUAAAAUAAAAUCUGAACUUUGUGGUA